rnacentral:lncRNA from 1 species
AGAGACUGGAGAAGCCACCAGUAGGAGGUUAGACUAAAGGUGUUGCAUUUGCUUUGGUUGCUCUGGAUAUCUCUGUUGCAUUUAUUGAGCAUCCCUGAUACACUGGGCAUGGUAUGUGUGCCCUAAAUACAGUGUUCUAAUGAGCCCUCAUGAAGCCUGUCACUCCACUGAGGAGCAGAGAAAUAAACCUAGGAACACUCACCAUUAACCCAAGACUGUUUCCUGUGGUGAUAUCUUGCUUGUAUAAGUAAGCCUGUCUGAAGAUCAGAGGAUAGAGCUUGCCACUAACCAACUAACCAUAGAGGUCUGGAGGUCUGUACAGAGAGACAGGAAGUGAGAUGGCAGAGCAGAAGCAGGAAGUGAAGUGGCUGGGAGAGAGAGGAUAUAAGCAGGAAGAAACAGGAGCUUGAACUCUUUUCCACUGAGACACUAAUGAGGGGCCCACUCAAGAUGGUCAUGAGCAGCCCCAGGCAUGACUUUGGGAACUCCAGUGGAAAGAAGGCAUUCCUUUUUGGCUAGAUCCAGAAAAAGUCCUGCCUAAGACUGACAUUGGCUCUGUUUGGUCACUGAGUCAAAUUCUGACAAACCACAUUGAUUCUUAACAGCACCUGGUGAACACGAGCCUGGACCCUAUAGAACCCUAAGGCUUCACGAGUCUGAGCCUGCAGUUGGACCAGCAUGGCCACUGUUCUGGACCUAUUCCCGUGGCUUGAAUGUGCACACAGUUCAGCUGGCCCAGUUCUACCAGAGGCAAAGGGGUUCCUUGCAGAUGUGAUGCCAGGAGGACAGUCAUGCCUGUGCUUCCAGGAACCCCCAUUCUAUUCUAUGCCAGAGACACACAGAUGGUGGCUGGAUUCCAGCCACAGAUGCAGCUCCCUCAAGAACAGUGAAGCCUACAACAGGAGUGUGCCCCCUCUGGGUCUCAGGCCUGAGGGGACAGUAGCAUCUGUGUGACCGAAGACUCACCCUCUGUGAGUGGAACAGUUAAGGCUGUCUGUGGCCUAGCAUCUGCUGGUCCCAUUCACUAUGGCAAGGCUGUGGACAUUCAGUCUUAGACCUUCUCACCCCAGUGCCUGAACUCAACAGGAAAACGUCAGCUGCAAAGUCCUGGACUCUGCCUGCCAUCACCAUCACUCUACAGACAUCUUCAGCACAUCUCUGUGAGAUUACUUCCUUUAUACUAGGGUUUUGUGUAGCUAUUUCCUCCUGGUGGCAACACUCCUUCCUGGAGAUGCUAAGCUCACAAUGAAGUUACAAGACUCAUGAGGCCCCAGACCCCAUGAGGCUCCCUCCUUGAGGUUAUAUAAGCUUAAACAAUUACUGUAGAGUUACUAGCAUGUUAUUCAGGGAGUUUCAGGGAUGCACCUUUCAUGAGAUUGUCACCCAUGCUGGAGGGGAGGAGGGAUUUUCAGCAGUACAGCAGCCUGAGUCACCUAUGUUCCUGUAAGUGACCCAAAUAAACUCAUUGGUUCACUAAGUUAAACUGGGGUGAAAUAGUUUUUUUAGCCCAUUGUCGGCACCCUAUCUGACGUCCAUGGACAUCUGCUCACAUCUCCAGCAGGACAAUACUGAGGAUUUAUAUGUAAUGUAUUAUUUUGCUCUCGGGCUAACUCCAUUGAGUAUGGUACAAUGAAUAUUCCCACAUUUUCCUAAACUGGAAACUGAGACACCAAGGUUAAAGAGCUCCUGAAGAAGCACAGAGAAAGGGAAGUGGAGAUUUCCCAUUUGUCAGGCAAAGUGGGAAGGUCUGCAGUGAAUCCAUAUCAGGUUAGAGAAAAGGGGUGUCGACAGAGAUUCAAGCUCCUGGUGAGAGAUGAAGGCAAUGUGGGGGGUGGGGGGACACACAUCAGGGCAAGUAUCGUUUGCAUGAGUCCUAACCCACUAAAAACUGUGAAGUGAAAAUAGUUUAAAACAAGGACAAUCAAGGUGGAGUCCCACAUGUGAGCAGUGUGAUGGCACUCGGGAUGGAGUCCCAGGGGUGAGCAGUGUAAUGUGCUGGCGCAAAAAUAAAAUGCAAGUUGAGUCUUCAUAACUGGUGGUGGCAGAGUCUUUCUGGGAGCUUCUUGCCUUGCGACAUGUUGGGAGAAUGAAAUAAUUUAAAACAAGCACUUUCAGAGUGAGCAAGGAUUACCUUGCUGAUUCUACAAAUGAGUAAAUGGAAGCAUUCCUGGAAGGUUCUGUGCAGCUUGUAUAACGGACUCCAUAAGCUUCAUAAGCUUCAUGAAAGCUAGGAAAUGGAAAG